rnacentral:lncRNA from 1 species
GAUGAGUUUGUGAGACUUUGAAACUUCUGUACCAUAUGGGGGGGCGGGGGGAUACCCAUAUAAACCCUCUCCGUGAACCAGCACCACACAAUUUCCCCAUUAACGAAAAAAGAAAAAACAAGAUUAGUUCCUCUUGUAUGCUUUCAUUAAAGGCCAAUAGCAAUAGCUCUCUCUCCUCUCUCAGUGUCUCUCACACUGAUCUAGCAAUCUCCUAAACCAAUCUGACAUCAUCUCCUCCUACCCACGACAAUUCCAACGAGCAGCAACACUGUUGUCGUCAACCUUAUCCCGGUCAUGACCCAACGAUAACUACCAUUAGUUGGUUCUUUAGCAGAGAUAACCUCACAUUCUUUUCUUCUCUUUUAGACACUAGCCCACACAUGCCAACCAUCGGUAACAACCUCCCCAUCCAAAAAUUAGCAACAUAAUCUCGUAGCUCCAAAACUAUCACCGACCAACGCCUUCUCCUCCUAAACCACAAUGCAAGGCACUCUUCAUGGCAGAUCCACAAUAACCCAACAAUAACAAUCAGAAAAGAGAAGAAGAAAUUACAGUAGAGAAAGAGAGAGGCAGAUCUUAAAAAAAUAAAAAUAAAUAAAAACUACUAUCUUGUGUUGAUUUCUUUGUCUUGCAGGGAGG